rnacentral:tRNA from 1 species
UCCACAGUAGCUCAGCGGUAGAGCAGGUGGCUGUUAUCCGCCAGUUGGCGGAUCAAAUCCCUCCUGUGGAGCCG